GAUGGACGCUGGCGGCGUGCCUAAUACAUGCAAGUCGAGCGAACAGACGAGGAGCUUGCUCCUCUGACGUUAGCGGCGGACGGGUGAGUAACACGUGGAUAACCUACCUAUAAGACUGGGAUAACUUCGGGAAACCGGAGCUAAUACCGGAUAAUAUAUUGAACCGCAUGGUUCAAUAGUGAAAGACGGUUUUGCUGUCACUUAUAGAUGGAUCCGCGCCGCAUUAGCUAGUUGGUAAGGUAACGGCUUACCAAGGCAACGAUGCGUAGCCGACCUGAGAGGGUGAUCGGCCACACUGGAACUGAGACACGGUCCAGACUCCUACGGGAGGCAGCAGUAGGGAAUCUUCCGCAAUGGGCGAAAGCCUGACGGAGCAACGCCGCGUGAGUGAUGAAGGUCUUCGGAUCGUAAAACUCUGUUAUUAGGGAAGAACAAAUGUGUAAGUAACUAUGCACGUCUUGACGGUACCUAGUCAGAAAGCCACGGCUAACUACGUG
rnacentral:rRNA from 1 species